rnacentral:rRNA from 1 species
GACGAACGCUGGCGGCGUGCUUAACACAUGCAAGUCGAACGAAGUGGCGAACGGGUGAGUAACGCGUAAUCAACCUGCACUUCAGAGGGGGACAACAGGUGGAAACGACUGCUAAUACCGCAUACUGAAGGAGGGGAUUGCGUCUGAUUAGCUAGUUGGAGGGGUAACGGCCCACCAAGGCGAUGAUCAGUAGCCGGUCUGAGAGUAGGAACGGCCCAAUUGGGACUGAGUCACGGCCCAGAAUCCUACGGGAGGCAGCAGUUGGGAAUCUUCCGCAAUGGACGAAAGUCUGACCAAGCAACGCCGCGUGAGUGAUGACGGCCUUCGGGUUGUAAAGCUCUGUUAAUCGGGACGCGGUACCGAAAUAGAAAGCCACGGCUAACUACGUGCCAGCAGCCGCGGUAAUAC